rnacentral:rRNA from 1 species
AGUGAACGCUGGCGGUAGGCCUAACACAUGCAAGUUGAACGGCAGCACAGUAAGAGCUUGCUCUUACGGGUGGCGAGUGGCGGACGGGUGAGGAAUACAUCGGAAUCUACUUUUUCGUGGGGGAUAACGUAGGGAAACUUACGCUAAUACCGCAUACGACCUACGGGUGAAAGCAGGGGAUCUUCGGACCUUGCGCGAUUGAAUGAGCCGAUGUCGGAUUAGCUAGUUGGCGGGGUAAAGGCCCACCAAGGCGACGAUCCGUAGCUGGUCUGAGAGGAUGAUCAACCACACAGGAACUGAGACACGAUCCAGACACAGAAGGGAGGCAGAAGUGGGGAAUAUUAAACAAAGAGCGCAAGAAUGAUCCAACCAAACCGCGUAGGUGAAGAAGGCCUUCGAGUUGUAAAACACUUUUGUUGAGAAAGAAAAGCAGCAGGUUAAUAACCCGCUGUUCUGACGGUACCAAAAGAAUAAGCACCGGCUAAAUUCGUG